GGCGAGAAGUAUGCGGAAUGUGUGGUGUAGCGGUGAAAUGCAUAGAUAUCACGCAGAACCCCGAUUGCGAAGGCAGCAUACCGGCGCCCGACUGACGCUGAGGCACGAAAGUGCGGGGAUCAAACAGGAUUAGAUACCCUGGUAGUCCGCACAGUAAACGAUGAAUGCUAGCUGUCCGGGGGGAUUGACCCCUGGGUGGCACAGCGAAAGCGUUAAGCAUUCCACCUGGGGAGUACGCCGGCAACGGUGAAACUCAAAGGAAUUGACGGGGGCCCGCACAAGCGGAGGAACAUGUGGUUUAAUUCGAUGAUACGCGAGGAACCUUACCCGGGCUCAAACGCCGAAGGGACAUUCCCCGAAAGGGGAUUGGCCAGCAAUGGUCUUCGGCGAGGUGCUGCAUGGUUGUCGUCAGCUCGUGCCGUGAGGUGUCGGCUUAAGUGCCAUAACGAGCGCAACCCCCACCGACAGUUGCUAACUGGUCAAGCAGAGGACUCUGUCGGGACUGCCGGCGCAAGCUGCGAGGAAGGCGGGGAUGACGUCAAAUCAGCACGGCCCUUACGUCCGGGGCGACACACGUGUUACAAUGGCAGGUACAGCGGGAUGCCAUGGGGCGACCCAGAGCGGAACCCGAAAACCUGUCUCAGUUCGGAUUGGAGUCUGCAACCCGACUCCAUGAAGCUGGAUUCGCUAGUAAUCGCGCAUCAGCCACGGCGCGGUGAAUACGUUCCCGGGCCUUGUACACACCGCCCGUCAAGCCAUGGGAGCCGGGGGUGCCUGAAGGCCGUGACCGCGAGGAGCGGCCUAGGGUAAAACUGGUGACUGGGGCUAAGUCGUAACAAGGUAACCGUAA
rnacentral:rRNA from 1 species